rnacentral:tRNA from 1 species
GGGCGUUUAGCUCAGCUGGUAGAGCAGCUCCCUCUUAAGGAGAAGGUCGGGGGUUCGAUCCCCUCAACGCCCACCA